rnacentral:miRNA from 1 species
UUUUGAGUAUAUAUAUGUGUGUGUGUGUGUGUGUGUGUAUGUAUGUAUGUAUGUACACAUACACACACACACACACACACACACACAUAUAUA